rnacentral:rRNA from 1 species
ACAGAGGGUGCGAGCGUUAAUCGGAUUUACUGGGCGUAAAGCGUGCGUAGGCGGCUUUUUAAGUCGGAUGUGAAAUCCCUGAGCUUAACUUAGGAAUUGCAUUCGAUACUGGAAAGCUAGAGUAUGGGAGAGGAUGGUAGAAUUCCAGGUGUAGCGGUGAAAUGCGUAGAGAUCUGGAGGAAUACCGAUGGCGAAGGCAGCCAUCUGGCCUAAUACUGACGCUGAGGUACGAAAGCAUGGGGAGCAAACAGG